UACGUAGGGGGCAAGCGUUGUCCGGAUUUAUUGGGCGUAAAGAGCGUGUAGGCGGCCAGAUAGGUCCUUUGUGAAAACUCGAGGCUCAACCUCGAGACGCCGAUGGAAACCAUUUGGCUAGAGUCCGGAAGAGGAGAGUGGAAUUCCUGGUGUAGCGGUGAAAUGCGCAGAUAUCAGGAAGAACACCCGUGGCUAAGGCGGCUCUCUAGUACGGUACUGACGCUGAGACGCGAAAGCGUGGGGAGCGAACAGG
rnacentral:rRNA from 1 species